GCCUAGUUAGCUUAGUUGGUAGCGCAUCUGCCUUGUAAACGCUAGGCCGCGGGUUUGAUUCCCGCCCGGGGCG
rfam:Asian citrus Psyllid, Diaphorina citri - Florida Strain, whole genome shotgun sequence.